rnacentral:lncRNA from 1 species
UCGGAUUGGCGGUAGCAUUGGGUGCAGGGUUCGCAUUGGACCCAUAUAAUGUCGCUGCCUGAGUCUAUGACCACGUAUUGGUUCCGAGGUGGGCUUCCAACUCCGAUUCUGACAAAAUACUCUCCGCUUCCUUGCUCCAUACCCGACACAACAUCCGACCCGAAUGCCUCCGAGUCCAAGGUGGGCUUUCCGGCGGCAAGGCGGCGGAGGAGGACGGCGACCCUUCUGGCAUCUCGCUCUAUUCGGGCGUUGAAUCGGGUCUGGUGGUCGAGGGUGGUGUUAAAGGUGGAAACUUUGUCUCUGUGGAGUAGCUUUAGUUUCCAUUUUGUUGAUGAUGAGUCUGUGACAGCGUUGGGUGUUUGAUGUUGGUGGGACGGUUGUUUUGGGGUAGAGGUUGGCUUUGGAAUGAGUUUGGUUUGUGCGAGGGUUUGUUUUACGUUGAGUUGUUGGAAAUGAGGGUAUGAUAGGCUGUGAGAAGUGGAGGUGGUUAGAAGGAGUGAGAGGAGAAGCAGAACUGUGAACAUGGUGUGUUGCUGAUGUUUUUGUUGUUGGUAUGAUGUGUUGUGUUGUGUGCGGAGCGAGGAGGAAUUUAUUUGGUUGGGUUUUUGGGGUGUGUAGAGGGAAAAUGGGUUUACUAUGGAAAUAAUUGUAAGGAGGAGAAGUUUCUGCUUUUGUAGUUUAGUGUUUGGAAUGUUUAUACGAGUUUUAGAGUUGAGUGGAAAGGUGUAUAUAUCUUUGAGAGUGGUGCAUUGAGGGAAUGUGAUGGUGAGUUACAGCAAUAUGGAAAGGUAGUUGGUGGUGAUGGCACAUAGUAUUUUUCUUAAGGGAUAUUUGUAGUGUAAAUCAUGGUUAUUAACUAUUGAUUUUGUGCAUUUUUGUCUUUACCUGCUACUGCAUUGUGUGUAGUAGAAGUGCUGAAUGGCCAAAUGAGUGACCUAUAGUGUGCUUGUUUAGCAUUUGUUUACUUUUAUUGGAAUGUUGUCUUCCAUUUACUGUUGAUGUUAUUGUUGUCACUUUAUUAGUACUAAAAUUAACUUGUGACAUGGUUUUGAAGAAAAGGUUGGCCCCUUGGAGGGAAAGAAAGGGGCGACCAGACGUGUUUGUCUGUGACCCUUUUUCUGGGUCACGCCAACAUGAUCUGUUUAAUGGGAAGAGAAAAGAAGGAUUAGUGUUACUGUUGUGUAGGGAAGAAAGUGAUGAGGGAAGGACAUUGACAAUUGGUACUGAUUGAAUUUGAUUAGAUACAGAAAAGUUGCAAGAAAUUUCGUAGUUAGACCAGAAACAUAGGCACUGAAGAGUAGGUACACAUUAACAAUUUUGGCUAUGUAUAUUGCACAGAAAUAUUAUCUCCAAACAUUUUCAGGAAAACAAAGUACUUAAUAUCUCAGAUGAAAUGGAAGUCAAGUAUCCCAAAAGAUUAUGUGUCAUUCAAUCUAUUGGCAAAAUGAAAAACAGAGUUACACAUACUAUCCAAGUAUUAUGUAAUAAGCUGCAUGAUAAGAAGCAACAUGAGUGAAACUAACAGUAAAAAGGUGUAACACCAGCUUCUCCAUUUAUAGUACAGUACCAAUAAAUUUAGUUGGGUGUGUUUUUUUUUAUUGCACUAUAUGUUGGUUGAAAGUGUUGAUGGACAUUAGAAGAAAGAAAUAGGAAGUAUUAGUUGUGGAACACAGGCUUAACUUUUCCAUCAAUGAUUUGUAAAUUGUGGAUUCCUAUUCAUUUGUUGGACUCUGUAUUAUGCAUGUAUCACUUUUUAAUGCAUUCAUGCAAUAUCACUGUUGUUUUCCCUGGUUUGGGUUUACAAAGAGGGAAUUAGAGGGAUCUUAAUCACUUUAUUGACUAGGAUAUGCGCCAGCUUUGCAGCUUUGCCUUCACCUUAAAUAAAGAUGAAGUCCUCUCUUCCUUUCUCUCUCUGUCUCUUUCAAUCUAUAAUCCAAAUAUCCAAUAAGUUUCUUGAAUGGCGUGAAUCUUCAAAAGUGAAACACUUCUAAUUUUUUAAAGAGAAUACUGCUAUGAAGCAUCCAUUUUAUAAUGUUAGCCUUUUUAAUGGGAAACUUUCAAUGGGCUCUUUGGCCACAAUGAUAAAGAAAAAGAACAUGAACAAGAGCAACUUACCCACCCAUAUGUGAUGCUAGUAAAAUAAUACAUGUUAUACCAAGGGUAAGCCAAUCCAUGGAGAUUCUAGUGUCCAUCAUCAACAACCUGUCAGCGGAGACCGAAAGACCGCCCGAUUAAAGCGCACGGUUUAUCGGUCUCUCGACUUAAAAGAGGAUUCACGUUACGUCCCAUGUUAAAAACAUUAAUCCCAGUUAGAAACAGCAAAGCUCGAUUAUAUGUUCAUUGGACUUAUCUUAAUCAUUCUGACAGGACAAGGUCCGCCUUAAUAGUAUAAAUAAGAGGGGAUCCUCCACGGUGAAAGGUAAUGUUAUUCCAAAUCCUAAACUAGAUCAUUUAAGUGGAUCUUACUAACUUGAACGUCAGAUUACAUUUUGCAGGUACCCCUCUCAGACAUCCCAGAAGAACAAUCGAAAUCAAGAAAAGACAGGAAGUGUUGAAUAUGAGACAUUCAGUCUCGAAUAAAUUGUAAGAACAAUAGUUAUUUCUUCCUAUCAAUUCUUAAACUUGUUUUAUUUUUUGUUCUCAUCACACAAUCUGUUUGCAUGAAAGAAAAAUCAUAAGCAACCAUAUCCAACCAUACCUUGUGCUUUUCAAAGGCUCCCACUUUUUUGUGGGGAAAUUCUAAAAUGCGAGUGGAUACAUGGACUCUGCAAUACCUAAUGAUUCCAGCAAAUGUUGGUGAUGUUGGUGUGUUGUUAAAGGACACGCACGCGUGAUGUGAAGGGCAGUUGGGGAAAGGACAAUAUAUUUGUAUACAUGACACAGAGAAGAGUGAAAGUGCACAACCAUAAUGCACAUCUUUCUUCUACAAUCAUAGCAUGCCCAUCUAUGUAACAAUACAACAAUUCAACAACAUCCAUAUCUCUCACUCUUUAUUCUACAUGUUAGUUGCCUCUUAACCAAGUUUAGUCAAGUCAAUAA